rnacentral:rRNA from 1 species
GGGUGCGAUCAUAGCAAUAAUGCAUAUCAGAACUCCGAAGUUAAGCUUGCUUGGGCGAGAGCAGUACCUCCUGGGAAGUCCUCGUGUUGCUCUUU